rnacentral:rRNA from 1 species
GACGGAGGAUGCAAGUGUUAUCCGGAAUCACUGGGCGUAAAGCGUCUGUAGGUGGUUUAAUAAGUCAACUGUUAAAUCUUGAGGCUCAACCUCAAAAAUCGCAGUCGAAAACUAUUAGGCUAGAGUAUAGUAGGGGGUAAAAGGGGAAUUUCCAGUGGAGCGGUGAAAAUGCGUAGAGAUUGGAAAAGAAACACCCGAUGGGCGAA